UAAAUUUGCUGUAAUUUAUCUCAUCAAGGACGGGAAAACGAGAUUAAUCACGUGACAUCUUUAGAGACGCCAUAACAAAGAAAAUGCCAGCAGAAAGAGAUUACGAACAUGAGCGCGACCGGGAGAAGGACAGGAAACUGUUCAUCGGCGGUCUCAGCUACGAGACAACUGAGGAUAGCAUGAAGACACACUUCGAACAAUGGGGAGAGAUUGUUGACUGCGUUGUCAUGCGCGACAUGGCGACAAAGCGGUCGCGCGGCUUCGGCUUCAUAACCUACAAAAAAGCGUCGCAGCUGGACGAAGCACAGCAGAAUCGGCCUCACAUCAUUGACGGGAAGGAGGUGGAACCCAAGCGCGCCGUGCCGCGCGAGGAGUCGAGCAAGCCAGAGGCGCAGAUGACAGUGAAGAAGAUCUUUGUUGGAGGCAUUCGUGACGAUACGGAAGAAUCCCAUCUGAAGGACUACUUCAUGCAGUACGGCAACGUCACCUCCGUCGACAUCAUCACGGAGAAGGGAACAAAUCGCAAGCGAGGAUUCGCCUUUGUCUCCUUCGACGAUUACGACCCCGUCGACAAAAUCGUCCUGCAACGGCAUCAUACAAUCAACGGACAUCACUCAGAGGUGAAGAAAGCAGUGUCGAAACAGGAGAUGGCAUCAGCGAUGGAUAGAGGAGCCAGCCGUGGAUCAGGACGAGGGGGAGGAAGAUUUGGUAACCGUGGAGAUGGCGAUAACUGGGGUGGCGGAGGAGGCGGGUACGGUGGCGGAGGCGGCGGGUACGGUGGCGGAGGAGGCGGGUACGGUGGCGGAGGCGGCUAUGGCGGUGGCGGAGGCGGAGGCGGAGGCUAUGGCAAUCAAGGCGGUGGUUACGGCAACCAAGGUGGCGGAAACUUUGGCGGAGGAGGCUAUGGAAACCAAGGAGGUAACUUCGGUGGUGGCUACAGCAACCAGGGAGGUUACGGUGGAGGCAUGGGCGGAAACAUGGGCGGCGGAAACUUUGGUGGUGGCGGCGGCGGCGGCGGAGGAAACUUUGGUGCCAAUGGUGGUGGUGCUGGCUGGAACCAAAAUCAAGGAGCCGGUGGUAACUGGGGCAACAACUCUGGAGGAGGGCUCAGCAAUGACUAUGGAUCUGGCGGAUACGGUGGUGGAGCGAUGAAAGGCGGGAGUUACUCCCAGCGUGGAUCUGGUCCGUACAAUUCUGGAUAUGGAGGAGGCGGCAACAGCGGAGGAGGCGGCAGCAGCAGCGGAGGAGGAAAUUACGGUGGUGGUGGUGGAGGAGGCUACAGCCGACGCUAGAGAGUGGUCUGCUUUUUGCACCAGCUUCUAAGGGAGUCAGCUAACACAUGCCAACACAACGGAUGUCAGCGCGUGAACACGAGGGCUAGGGCCACACACGUCGCGCAAGUGCUCAUCCACUCCAUUCUGUGGUGGACAGCAGCUGUAGGCACUCCAUGGUUGGAUGAACGCAAGGUUGCAUAGAGCAGGGACGCCCCCCUCAAGAGGAGAAGUGGCAGAGUGGGAGCCACAGUUGAUUGGCAUUGAUGGUCGCUUAUCAAGCACAACGUAGACCGAUACAUCCGCAAUACGGUUCUAAUUGAAUGUCGUGAGAUAUGGGAUUUGUGAAUUAACAACCAUGUAGCAUUCAUAGACAUACAUUGCAGUAUUGCUGCCUUUCAAAAUGUAUAUAUUUUAGUGUUCCGUAUUGCUUCUUGCAAGUUCCAUUGCUAAAUUGUGUAAAUAAUCAUGAUUCUAUUGCAUAUUUAAAUAAAUCAUUGAAGGAUU
rnacentral:misc_RNA from 1 species